UAGGCUAUUUUACUGAGUCUGACAAAAACUAAUCGAUUUAAAUGCAGUAGCUUAUUUAGGCAGACAACUGCAUCUUUACAUGACAAACUUUUACUGUACUGUGAGGCGGUCUGUUUAAACUGUCAGUGCUCAGGUGUUGCUGUUAUCAGCGAUUAAGCUCUCUGCACCAAACUCCACUUUAACCUGGAAGCUGAUUUUUUUUUUUCUGUCCUGUGACCAUGGCAACUCUAUUUCCAAAGGAUUUAUUGUUGCUGAGAUGCCCGACACAACACCGGGAAUCACUUAAGGGUUUCCUCUUAAUUAUGAAAGGAGGUUUUCCAGAGGUAUUUGGGUCAGUUUGACUUGAAUUGAAGGCUGAGGAGGAAGGCUUAGUGGCUGCCAGAAAAGAGACAUGACUACAGACAGCUAAUACACCGGUCACUAAAGUCCGGUGUUCUGCAGGGUUGCGAGACAAAAGCGGGAGUGAGGGUACACUCACUGGCAUGGCAUUGUUGACAGUAGUGUUGUACACACAGGAACGCAUUGUGUACUCCGCAAG